rnacentral:rRNA from 1 species
GUGGGUAACCUGCCUUAUAGUGGGGGAGUAGCCUUUCGAAAGGAAGAUUAAUACCGCAUAAGAUUGUAGUAUCGCAUGAUAUAGCAAUUAAAGGAGCAAUCCGCUAUAAGAUGGACCCGCGUCGCAUUAGCUAGUUGGUGAGGUGAUGGCUCACCAAGGCGACGAUGCGUAGCCGACCUGAGAGGGUGAUCGGCCACAUUGGGACUGAGACACGGCCCAGACUCCUACGGGAGGCAGCAUG